UUGUUUCAGCAGCACACAUACUAAAACUGGCACGAUAAAGAGAUUACCAUGGCCCUUACAUGGAUGGCAUGCAAAUUCACAGAGCAUUCCAUAUCUUU
rnacentral:snRNA from 1 species